UACGAAGGUGGCUAGCGUUGCUCGGAAUCACUGGGCGUAAAGCGCACGUAGGCGGCUUUCUAAGUCAGGGGUGAAAUCCUGGAGCUCAACUCCAGAACUGCCUUUGAUACUGGAGAGCUCGAGUCCGGGAGAGGUGAGUGGAACUCCGAGUGUAGAGGUGAAAUUCGUAGAUAUUCGGAAGAACACCAGUGGCGAAGGCGGCUCACUGGCCCGGUACUGACGCUGAGGUGCGAAAGCGUGGGGAGCAAACAGG
rnacentral:rRNA from 1 species